rnacentral:rRNA from 1 species
UACGUAGGGUGCAAGCGUUAAUCGGAAUUACUGGGCGUAAAGCGUGCGCAGGCGGUUAUGUAAGACAGAUGUGAAAUGCCCGGGCUUAACCUGGGAACUGCAUUUGUGACUGCAUGGCUAGAGUUUGGCAGAGGGGGGUAGAAUUCCACGUGUAGCAGUGAAAUGCGUAGAUAUUGGGAGGAACACCAGUGGCGAAGGCGGCUCACUGGACCGGUACUGACGCUGAUGCGCGAAAGCGUGGGGAGCAAACGGG